AAUGAACGCUGGCGGCAGGCCUAACACAUGCAAGUCGAACGGACUGCGAGGAGCUUGCUCCUCAAAGUUAGUGGCGGACGGGUGAGUAACGCGUGGGUAACCUGCCCUAUGCAGGGGGAUAACGUUUGGAAACGAACGCUAAUACCGCAUAAUCUAGUUGGUUCGCAUGAACUAACUAGCAAAGAUUUAUCGGCAUAGGAUGGACCCGCGUUGGAUUAGCUAGUUGGUGAGAUAACAGCCCACCAAGGCAACGAUACAUAGCCGGCCUGAGAGGGUGAACGGCCACACUGGGACUGAGACACGGCCCAGACUCCUACGGGAGGCAGCAGUGGGGAAUAUUGCACAAUGGGCGCAAGCCUGAUGCAGCGACGCCGCGUGAAGGAUGAAGGUCUUCGGAUCGUAAACUUCUAUCAGCAGGGAAGAAUACCAUGACGGUACCUGACUAAGAAGCCCCGGCUAACUACGUGCCAGCAGCCGCCGUAA
rnacentral:rRNA from 1 species